UCCCCCAGUAGCGGCGAGCGAACAGGGAAGAGCCCAGCACCGAAUCCCGCGGCCGUCUCGGUCGCCGGGAAAUGUGGUGUUAGGGAGGGUCCGUCAUCCCGACGCCGAGCGGCGAGUCCAAGUCCUUCUUGAACGGGGCUACUUACCCAUAGAGGGUGCCAGGCCCGUAGUGACCGCAGCCGGUGGCGGGAGGAUCUCUCCUCAGAGUCGGGUUGCUUGAGAGUGCAGCCCUAAGCGGGUGGUAAACUCCAUCUAAGGCUAAAUAUGACCACGAGACCGAUAGCGAACAAGUACCGUGAGGGAAAGUUGAAAAGAACUUUGAAGAGAGAGUUCAACAGUACGUGAAACCGUUCAGGGGUAAACCUGAGAAACCCGAAAGUUCGAAUGGGGAGAUUCAGCGCGUUUCGUCCGCGUGAUGGCCGAGUGCGUUGUGACGAUUGGCGUUCGCGUCGAUUGCGCCGCACUCGGCGGGUGCGCGGCGAACGCGUGCACUUCUCCCCUAGUAGGAAGUCGCGACCCGUUGGGUGUCGGUCUAAGGGCCGCGGUGGAGCCCGGGUGGCGUUUCGACGUUCCGCCCGGACCCGCGGUUCCCGGCCGGCUCGCUCGACGGUACGACAGUGGCGCGGGGCCGCGAUUUAUUCGCGUCCGGCCCGUCGCAAGUGCGGACGGUAAUCCGUCGGUCGGACCUGGUGCCGACCUCGGACCCGCCCGGCUGCUGGCGGCGGUGUCCUCGGACAGACCUCGUAUACGCCGGUCGGCGACUGUUUAGAUUUGGGUACUUUCAGGACCCGUCUUGAAACACGGACCAAGGAGUCUAGCAUGUGCGCGAGUCAUUGGGAUAGUUAAUGCUAAACCUAAAGGCGCAAUGAAAGUGAAGGCCGCGCCUAGCGCGCGCCCAGGGAGGAUGCGCCGGACCGCGGUCCGGCGCCGCACUCCCGGGGCGUCUCGUGCUCAUCGCGAGCUGAGGCGCACCCAGAGCGUACACGCUGGGACCCGAAAGAUGGUGAACU
rnacentral:rRNA from 1 species